AGCGCAGACGGUUGAUUAAGUCUGAUGUGAAAGCCCGGAGCUCAACUCCGGAAUGGCAUUGGAAACUGGUUAACUUGAGUGCAGUAGAGGUAAGUGGAACUCCAUGUGUAGCGGUGGAAUGCGUAGAUAUAUGGAAGAACACCAGUGGCGAAGGCGGCUUACUGGACUGUAACUGACGUUGAGGCUGAAAGUGUGGGUAGCAAACAG
rnacentral:rRNA from 1 species